GUGAACGAGCGACGCCGCGUGGAGGAUGAAGGCCUUCGGGUUGUAAACUCCUGUCGAGGGGGAAGAAGGCCCCGCGAGGGGCUUGACUGAUCCCUGGAGGAAGCACGGGCUAAGUUCGUGCCAGCAGCCGCGGUAAGACGAACCGUGCGAACGUUAUUCGGAAUCACUGGGCUUAAAGCGCGUGUAGGUGGGACGGCACGUCGGUCGCUGAAAGCCCCCGGCUCAACCGGGGAAGUGGCGCCGAUACGACCGGCCUGGAGGGACGUAGGGGGACCUGGAACUUCCGGUGGAGCGGUGAAAUGCGUUGAGAUCGGAAGGAACGCCCGUGGCGAAAGCGAGGUCCUGGACGUUUUCUGACACUGAGACGCGAAAGCCAGGGGAGCGAACGGGAUUAGAUACCCCGGUAGUCCUGGCCGUAAACGAU
rnacentral:rRNA from 1 species